GCGGCGGACGGGUGAGUAACACGUGGGUAACCUGCCCAUAAGACUGGGAUAACUCCGGGAAACCGGGGCUAAUACCGGAUAAUAUUUUGAACUGCAUGGUUCGAAAUUGAAAGGCGGCUUCGGCUGUCACUUAUGGAUGGACCCGCGUCGCAUUAGCUAGUUGGUGAGGUAACGGCUCACCAAGGCAACGAUGCGUAGCCGACCUGAGAGGGUGAUCGGCCACACUGGGACUGAGACACGGCCCAGACUCCUACGGGGAGGCUGCAGUAGGGAAUCUUCCGCAAUGGACGAAGUCUGACGGAGCACGCCGCGUGAGUGAUGAAGGCUUUCGGGUCGAAAACUCUGUUGUUAGGGAAAACAAGUGCUAGUUGAAUAAGCUGGCCCUUGACGGUACCUAACCAGAAAGCCACGGCUAACUACGUGCCAGCAGCCGCGGUAAUACGUAGGUGGCAAGCGUUAUCCGGAAUUAUUGGGCGUAAAGCCGCGCAGGUGGUUUCUUAGUCUGAUGUGAAAGCCCACGGCUCAACCGUGGAGGGUCAUUGGAAACUGGGAGACUUGAGUGCAGAGAGGAAGUGG
rnacentral:rRNA from 1 species